GACGGAGGAUGCAAGCGUUAUCCGGAAUGAUUGGGCGUAAAGGGUCCGCAGGUGGCAGUGUAAGUCUGCUGUCAAAGAAUGAGGCUUAACCUCAUCAAGGCAGUGGAAACUACACAGCUAGAGUACGGUCGGGGUAGAAGGAAUUCCUGGUGUAGCGGUGAAAUGCGUAGAGAUCAGGAAGAACACCGGUGGCGAAAGCGUUCUGCUGGGCAGUUGCUGACACUGAGGCGCGACAGCGUGGGGAGCAAACAGG
rnacentral:rRNA from 1 species